GCGAUCUGGCUGUGCCUCAGGAGGGUGGGACCCACUGCAGAGGAGCCGUCACCCUCGGAGGGGUGGGAGGAGAACACGUGGUCUCAGAGGGGGCUGCUGUUGUUUUGGCUUCUGCGGUAACACAUCUCUGGAAGGUCAGACUUCCUGUUUCCGGACCCGUCCAAGCAGAGGGACCGACGCCUGCCAUUGCCGUUAUCCUGUUGAUUGUUAACUGGGACUCUCCUGCACCCGCUCCAGGACAAGCCGUACACACCUAUCGUGGCACCGUCUCCAGUCCCACGGGUUCCCCAUCUAAUUUGCCUUCUCCACCUAAUGUAUCACCGACGGACUUCAAGUAAUCCCGUUAGCCUUCCUCUUUGGAUUGUGCUGUAUGAAGUAAGAUGCCACACUGCUGUCUCCCUGAACGUUUCCUCCAUCAUUGGAGAUUUUGCUUCUAGGCCAUGGUUGUUUAGCUCACAUAAACUCACAAAAAUUC